UACGAAGGGGGCUAGCGUUGCUCGGAAUCACUGGGCGUAAAGGGUGCGUAGGCGGGUCUUUAAGUCAGGGGUGAAAUCCCGGAGCUCAACUCCAGAACUGCCUUUGAUACUGAAGAUCUUGAGUUCGGGAGAGGUGAGUGGAACUGCGAGUGUAGAGGUGAAAUUCGUAGAUAUUCGCAAGAACACCAGUGGCGAAGGCGGCUCACUGGCCCGAUACUGACGCUGAGGCACGAAAGCGUGGGGAGCAAACAG
rnacentral:rRNA from 1 species